rnacentral:lncRNA from 1 species
ACACUGCAAAACCUUGUCAAAAUAGGAUAAUCUAUCCAAAAUACAAACCUAGACAUACAGGAAAGGAUUUAUGCAACUUUCUCCACCAAAGCAGAAAAGCACUAAUAUGUGUUAUGUACCGUGGAACAAUGCAAGAAUUAAAGAAUAUAAAGCCAUGGACUGAGGGAACUCUGGUUAGUUGUUUUUCCUUCCUUUGCUUGCUGAAGCAAAAGCCAACUUCUAUGCAAACACCUGCCAGUAACAGCACCUGGAGGAAGCUGUGCAUCCCUCUGAAAUUCCUCUGUGGUGGGCUCUGGAGUGGAACUUCAGCCCCAGAAAAGUCAGCUGUGAAGCUCGAGCAGAGAGACCCACCUGUCCCAGGAGAAGGGAAGCUCCUGGGGCUGCCCACCUCUGCCCACAGCAGCAUGCCUUCCUCUGCCGGCCAGCAGACUGGCCUUGAAGCUGACUACUGGUGAAUGACAAAGUAGCUAUUUUAUUUUGGAG